GACGAACGCUGGCGGCGUGCUUAACACAUGCAAGUCGAGCGGUAAGGCCCUUUCGGGGGUACGACGAGCGGCGAACGGGUGGAGUAACACGUGGGUGGACCUCGCCCUCCAGCUCUGGGAGUAAGCCUGGGAAACCGGGGUACGUAAUACCGGAUAUGACUCCAUGACGCAUGUUGUGGGGUGGAAAGCCUUGUGCGGCUGAGGAUGGGCCCGCGGCCUAUCAGCUUGUUGGUGGGGUGAUGGCCUACCAAGGCGACGACGGGUAGGCCGG
rnacentral:rRNA from 1 species